GAUGAACGCUGGCGGCGUGCCUAAUACAUGCAAGUCGAGCGAACGGACGAGAAGCUUGCUUCUCUGAUGUUAGCGGCGGACGGGUGAGUAACACGUGGAUAACCUACCUAUAAGACUGGGAUAACUUCGGGAAACCGGAGCUAAUACCGGAUAAUAUUUUGAACCGCAUGGUUCAAAAGUGAAAGACGGUCUUGCUGUCACUUAUAGAUGGAUCCGCGCUGCAUUAGCUAGUUGGUAAGGUAACGGCUUACCAAGGCAACGAUGCAUAGCCGACCUGAGAGGGUGAACGGCCACACUGGAACUGAGACACCGUACAGAAUCCCAAGGGAGGCAGCAGUAGGGAAUCUUUCGCCAAGGGCGAAAGCCUGACGGAGCAACGCCGCGUGAGUGAUGAAGGUCUUCGGAUCGUAAAACUCUGUUAUUAGGGAAGAACAUAUGUGUAAGUAACUGUGCACAUCUUGACGGUACCUAAUCAGAAAGCCACGGCUAACUACGUG
rnacentral:rRNA from 1 species